UGUUUAUAUAGUUUAUUAAAACAUUACAUUUUCAAUGUAAAAUUGAGAUAUAUCUCUUUAAAU
rnacentral:tRNA from 1 species